rnacentral:tRNA from 1 species
GCGUAGCCGGGCGGCCGCCGGGCGCCCCCGGGGCGGGCCCCCGGUCCGCCGGGCCGGGCCGGCGUGCCAUGCUCGGCCCAUGCGCUACGUC